GACGAACGCUGGCGGCGUGCUUAACACAUGCAAGUCGAACGCUGAAGCUCAGCUUUUGUUGGGUGGAUGAGUGGCGAACGGGUGAGUAACACGUGAGUAACCUGCCCCCUUCUUUGGGAUAACGCCCGGAAACGGGUGCUAAUACUGGAUAUUCACUGGUCUUCGCAUGGGGGUUGGUGGAAAGGGUUUUUCUGGUGGGGGAUGGGCUCGCGGCCUAUCAGCUUGUUGGUGGGGUGAUGGCCUACCAAGGCUUUGACGGGUAGCCGGCCUGAGAGGGUGACCGGUCACAUUGGGACUGAGAUACGGCCCAGACUCCUACGGGAGGCAGCAGUGGGGAAUAUUGCACAAUGGGCGCAAGCCUGAUGCAGCGACGCCGCGUGAGGGAUGGAGGCCUUCGGGUUGUGAACCUCUUUCGCUCAUGGUCAAGCCGCAACAAUGGUUGUGGUGAGGGUAGUGGGUAAAGUAGCGCCGGCUAACUACGUG
rnacentral:rRNA from 1 species